rnacentral:rRNA from 1 species
CAAUAGCGUAUAUUUAAGUUGUUGCAGUUAAAAAGCUCGUAGUCGGAUUUUGGCUGAGAACGAUCGGUCCGCCGUUAGGUGUGCGCUGAUUGGUCUCAGCUUCCUGGUGAGGAGGUGUGCUUCACGGCCACUUAGUCACCGUGGUUACUUUGAAAAAAUUAGAGUGUUCAAAGCGGGCUUACGCUUGAAUAUAUUAGCAUGGAAUAACACCAUAGGACUCCUGUCCUAUUUCGUUGGUCUCGGGACGGGAGUAAUGAUUAAGAGGAACAGUUGGGGGCAUUCGUAUUUCAUUGUCAGAGGUGAAAUUCUUGGAUUUAUGAAAGACGAACUUCUGCGAAAGCAUUUGCCAAGGAUGUUUUCAUUGA